rnacentral:rRNA from 1 species
CUAGCGACUUCAGAGUUUGAUCCUGGCUCAGGAUGAACGCUGGCGGCGUGCAUAACACAUUCAAGUCGAACGGAGUCAGAUCACUUAAUCCUUCGGGAAGCGGUGAUCCGGCUUAGUGGCGGACGGGUGAGUAACGCGUGAGCAACCUGCCUCUAUGUACGGGAUAACUCGGGAAACUGACGCUAAUACCGUAUAACACAUAUUUACCGCAUGAUAGAUAUGUCAAAGAUUUAUUGCAUAGAGAUGGGCUCGCGUCUGAUUAGAUAGUUGGUGAGGUAACGGCCCACCAAGUCUACGAUCAGUAGCCGGACUGAGAGGUUGAACGGCCACAUUGGAACUGAGAUACGGUCCAG